UGGGGAAUUUUGGACAAUGGGCGCAAGCCUGAUCCAGCCAUGCCGCGUGUGUGAAGAAGGCCUUCGGGUUGUAAAGCACUUUCGGCCGGAACGAAAUCGCCUUUGUUAAUAGCGAAGGUGGAUGACGGUACCGGAAGAAGAAGCACCGGCUAACUACGUGCCAGCAGCCGCGGUAAUACGUAGGGUGCGAGCGUUAAUCGGAAUUACUGGGCGUAAAGGGUGCGCAGGCGGCCCCGCAAGUCAGGCGUGAAAUCCCCGGGCUUAACCUGGGAAUGGCGCUUGAAACUACGGGGCUGGAGUAUGGCAGAGGGAGGUGGAAUUCCACGUGUAGCGGUGAAAUGCGUAGAGAUGUGGAGGAACACCGAUGGGCGAAGGCAGCCUCCUGGGCCAAUACUGACGCUCAUGCACGAAAGCGUGGGGAGCAAACAGGAUUAGAUACCCUGGUACGUCCACGCCCUAAACGAUGAUGACUAGUUGUUGGAGG
rnacentral:rRNA from 1 species